rnacentral:misc_RNA from 1 species
GAAAAGAACUUUGAAAAGAGAGUUAAACAGUACGUGAAAUUGUUGAAAGGGAAACGAUUGAAGCCAGUCGUACCGUCGGGAAUUCAACUUUUUAAGUGCUUGUCGUGGGUGAUGUAGAGCCUCACGGCCUUCGUUGCUUUGCGUUAUGGUGCUUUUAGGGUGUACUUUUCCGUAUGGUAGGUCAAUAUCGAUUUUGGUCGUCAUAAAAUGAUCGGAGGAAUGUGGCUUCGAUCUCGUAUCGGAGUGUUAUAGCCUUUGGUAGAUGUGACGAUUGGGAUCGAGGAUUGCAACGAAUACCCU